GACGAACGCUGGCGGCGUGCUUAACACAUGCAAGUCGAACGGAAAGGCCCUGCUUUUGUGGGGUGCUCGAGUGGCGAACGGGUGAGUAACACGUGAGUAACCUGCCCUUGACUUUGGGAUAACUUCAAGAAACUGGGGCUAAUACCGGAUAGGAGCUCCUGCUGCAUGGUGGGGGUUGGAAAGUUUCGGCGGUUGGGGAUGGACUCGCGGCUUAUCAGCUUGUUGGUGGGGAAGUGGCUUACCAAGGCUUUGACGGGUAGCCGGCCUGAGAGGGUGACCGGCCACAUUGGGACUGAGAUACGGCCCAGACUCCUACGGGAGGCAGCAGUGGGGAAUAUUGCACAAUGGGCGGAAGCCUGAUGCAGCAACGCCGCGUGCGGGAUGACGGCCUUCGGGUUGUAAACCGCUUUCGCCUGUGACGAAGCGUGAGUGACGGUAAUGGGUAAAGAAGCACCGGCUAACUACGUG
rnacentral:rRNA from 1 species